rnacentral:rRNA from 1 species
AUACGGAGUGUGCGAGCGUUAAUCGGAAUUACUGGGCGUAAAGCGUACGUAGGCGGUUGGUUAAGUUAGAUGUGAAAGCCCCGGGCUUAACCUGGGAACUGCAUUUAAAACUGGCGAACUAGAGUUGAGUAGAGGGGAGUGGAAUUUCAGGUGUAGCGGUGAGAUGCGUAGAGAUCUGAAGGAACACCAGUGGCGAAGGCGACUCCCUGGACUCGAACUGACGCUGAGGUACGAAAGCGUGGGUAGCAAACGGGAUAAGAAACCCCGGUAGUCC